UUUUAGCCCCGAUAGUAGUGGAAAUCCUUUUUAAUUUUUUCUUUAAAAUUAAAAAGAUUGCAACGGAUAGCGGGAAAUAGC
rnacentral:sRNA from 1 species